rnacentral:tRNA from 1 species
UCCCUGCUGGCUUAGCUGGUAAAGCAUCUACCUAUAAUGCGGGAGACCUGGGUUCAAUCUCUGGGUUGGGAA